rnacentral:rRNA from 1 species
GAUGAACGCUGGCGGCGUGCUUAACACAUGCAAGUCGAACGGUGAAGGCGGAGCUUGCUCUGCUGGAUCAGUGGCGAACGGGUGAGUAACACGUGAGCAAUCUGCCCCUGACUCUGGGAUAAGCGCUGGAAACGGCGUCUAAUACUGGAUACGAGCUGCGAAGGCAUCUUCAGCAGCUGGAAAGAACUUCGGUCAGGGAUGGGCUCGCGGCCUAUCAGCUUGUUGGUGGGGUAACGGCUCACCAAGGCGUCGACGGGUAGCCGGCCUGAGAGGGUGACCGGCCACACUAGGACUGGGACACGGCCCAGACUCCUACGGGAGGCAGGGGUGGGGAAUAUUGCACAAGGGGCGAAGGCCUGAUGCAGCAACGCCGCGUGGGGGACGACGGCCUUCGGGUUGUGUACCUCUUUUAGCUGGGAAGAAGCGAAAAUGACGGUACCUGCAGAAUAAGCGCCGGCUAACUACGUG